AUUUAUUAGUCAGCUUUUCCACUGCUGGCACCAAAUACCUGACACCCUCAGUUGAAAGGAGGCAAUGAUUUAUUUGGUUCACAGUUCCAGAGGAUUCAGUCCAUGAUCAGCUAGCUCCAAGGCAGGAACAUCAUGGCAGAACAGCACAGUGGAGCAAGGCUGCUCAGUUCAUGGUGGUCAGGAAGCAGAGUAGGGAAACACAACAGAGAAGAAGGGGGCAGGCAUCAGACAAAUGCACCAAGGUCACAUAUUCAUAUCCUGUCCAGAUAAACACAGAAGUGUGCUUUACUAACCCCUGAGGCAGCUCCUAAAUGAAUCAAGUUGACAGUUAAGCUUACCCUCAAAGAAAGGAGCUGCUUGCCCUGCCACUAUCCUGAAACACUGUUCUUUUUAGGAUCUCAGAAGAGAAAGAAGAUACUACACUUCAUCCAACAACUUCAAUGGCCCCAAGUUGCCAUCUCAGACUAUUCUCCUGACCUUUCCAUCAGCACACGUUUCCUUAUCUUCUCUCCUUCAUAGCCUUUAUUUGGCAACCUGGUGAACUCUGAGGAGAUCAGCAUAGAGUCUGGAGUUCCAAAAUGAAGGCAGACACUAGAGAUCAGUCACAGAUAUGUCACUGCUCCCCAACCUGUAUAUGUUUCAAUAGGAAGCCCACUUUGAGAUGCUGAAACUUCUGUACAGGUAAAUUAUUGGGGAUUCCUCUUCAACUCCCUUAGGUAGGAUUGAAAGGGUCAGGUUGUGGCCAGGGGAGAAUUUGGGAUGUGUGCAGUGGCCACAGAAGCUCAGUCCUCAGGCUGACCUGAGGUAGCCUUGUCUCCAAUCAGGGCACUCAGUAGGACCUUGGUACCCAUUGUGGUGUCCAGGUACUGCAAGCUGUCUUCAGAUAGGCCAUGGCUUUGGUGAGGCCAUUUCCCAUGGAGGAUUCAGCUCAGCACUAUCAGCAGCUGCUGGCCUGAGAGCCAAGAAACAAGAGCCUCUUUCCAGGAGGGGUUGGGUAACAAGCUCCAGCAUGUGCUGCAACUGUCACUGCAAGCAUAGAACUCCACUUCUCCUCCAGGCCAGUUUCUGUAAGAAAAUCUAUCCAAGUGAAGUACUUAGUGAGUAUAAUUGAACUGGGUUUGGGUGCUAUGAGGGAAUGUCUCCCUGGUUCAAUCCCUUCUUCUUUUCUUUCUCUAGCUAAGUUCACACUCUUCCUCUC
rnacentral:lncRNA from 1 species